UCACUUCACAUCUAAUUAACACAUCUUUUAAUUUACUUCCCUUGGCUUGUCUUCAAACUAAUUAAUCUGUUGUUUUAUGACUUUAUGGGAAGUACAAGGGGAAGUGCAAAAGAGAUGAAAGCUUGGACCACUAUCAUGCCCAAGGCAUGCAAUUUUUCAGUAACAUUUAAAGAAGUUAUUAGGUGACAGAUUUCACCUCCAGGGCUCACCUGUCUGGGUGCUCAAUUUGCUCAUCUUUUUUAGUCAAAUAUAUGAGCAGAACUCUGGGAAGGCUGACAGGCUGCAUGAAGCAGAUAGCUCAGUCUUAAUAUAGGGUAGUGAUGAUCAACUUAGCAGUAUCUGCCCAAAUGAAUUUGGCACAUCACUUUGUGGCAGGACUGCAAGAUGUUUUAGGUAGAGCCAUUUGUCAGAGCUUGGUGGCACUGUUGGUGUGUUCCCUCUGUACUGGUCCCUUUUCUACUUAUGAUACAGUACAAAACUCUGAGCUAGUAGGUGCCAGCAACCUCAUUAAAAUAUUGGGUAUUACUAGUGCUAGUACAUCAUCCACUUCUGUUGGGAAUUAAUCUGUGAGAGAUGAAGUAGUAGCUAAGAGUAUUUUAUGCCAAACUGAGUUCAACUCUUUGAGUGUACUCUGAAGCAAGGAAAAUGCAUAAGUAGCCCUAAACUGAACAUAAAAAGUAAAGCAACCACAAGAUUUGCCAGUUCCUGAGAGCCUGGAGAAGUACCAUAUCAACCCAAGCAUCAACGAGGAUGUCAUGUUUUGGCCAAAACUAUGAUGCGGGACCAUAACAAUAAAAAGCCACAUGAUCUGGAAGACUUAAAAUCCAUCAUCUCCAAGAACUGCACCGGAUUGUCUGCACCUUGUAGUUCAUUCCAUGGAAUUGAAAGCUCAACAGUGAGGAAGAGAAGACACUGGAGGAAGAAGCAGAGAGUGCAUUGUGUUCAACAGAUGCACAGCUUUCCUAGCAGAAGGAAGAGAAGGAGCCCAGUGGCAAACAGGCAACCUCCUAGGACUUGCAACUACUCCCCAACAGCUGCAAGCCUGUUACAGACUCUACAGGAGACAAAAAUUCAGGGUACUGAUGUUCAGCAGAUGAAAAACUGAAACAAACACCUCUCGGGGGACUUAAUUUCUUUUACGUGCCAUAUGUAUGGGAGUAAAGAAGAUGGCAUGACUGCCUGCUGUGGACUGUGAAGCCCAGGAGAUGGAAUAGGAAAGAAAAAUCCCAGUGGAGCAAGAAGUACAGAGAGUCAGAAGGAGGAAAACAAGUGAUGGUAGAAACACAGUGACCACAAUGAAUCACCACGUUUCUAACUGUGAUUGAAACUAUUUGCAGUUUGUAUGCACAGCUACUCACAAACAGCAGCCUCUACUUCCUUAAAAUAUCAAAACAGACCGUUUCACCCAACUAACUACAUUGCUUCAGCACCAGUUACCCACUACUGCUCCCUCUUAGAGGCUAACCCAUUCCUCUGUGGGAGUGACUGGCUGAGCCAAACCGCCCGAACUCACAGUUUGAAGUGUUGAGUCCCUAAGUGGACUGGGCUGGCUGCACCACAUUCUAACCUGCAACAGCCUUACCAGUAGUUCCUAUAAUUCUGUGCAGGUAGCAGUAAGAACCGAGAAACUAAUUGACUUGACCAAAAAGAACUGAAAUGAUAUUCACUUCCCACUUAAAGUGCUGCUGCAAACUUUGGUCAGUACAUUAUUCCUGCCUUUACUGUUUCAGUUGUUAUCUAGAAAUAGAAGAUAGUAUGCUGCCUUCCUUCCCUUGUGCUAUUUUAGGAGCAGCUACUGCCAGCAGUUUAGUUUCCUUGUGGGAAGGAAUGUAAAGCAUCUAUUUAUUUCAGAGAUUGGCUUUUGAGUGGGAAUAUUGGGCUAUAAGAGAAACGAUUCAGGGUGAUAAGGCUGUGUGUGCAUAUUUUUGGCAUCUUAAUAAAUUACCAACUUGAGAAAGAGAGAAUGGAGCUUUCAUGUAUAGAACAUCAUGUUCCACAAUGCAUUUCAUAGGUGUUGUUCCUCCAUACUAAAUGAGGCCUUUUAGCUUUUGUGCCUUGUGUUUCUUUGGCAAGAAAACAGCAUUGUUCAGUGCUUCACUAAUUUACUGAGAAAAGGUGUACUGCAAAAGUAUAUCUCCUUUUGCUUGUUAAUAUUAAUUUCCACAGCUCUCUGAGGUUCUAAAAAUGGCAAGAAGUUACUUCAGGAAACAUCUUUUUUGUUUAAGUAGACACCCUUGACUGGUGCCUACUGCAUCUCACCAAAAUUCUGUGAUGGAUCAUUUGGCAUCACCAGAAGAAAAAAAGGUGGGAACUUUAGUAACAAGGCAAACACAGCAAACUGGCUGUCCAAUAAGUGUAAGUGACCCUGUUGUUUUGUUCCGAUAUACUACUGAUGUGCUAACAGACAUCGGCUCCUCACGCACAGAUUGCACAGGUGUAAACUUUAUCAGUUGUUAGUAAUGUUUUUGAACCUGCAUGCAUGGUCACUUAAUAUACAUGAAAGAUCUUUCCAUGAGGAGGUAUCAUAGUGGAGAUUAUGCUAAAAUGAGUUAUUUUUUCCAGUCAGUCUUGUUCUAACAUGGCCACUGUACUGCUUUGUACUAAACUUUUUGUUCAGGAAAAAGAUGAUAGCAUAUGACCACAAAUUGGAAUAUAAUUCAGGCUUAUUUUUGUCUACAAAGAGGUGAUAAAGUGUUAUUUUUUUUUUAAAGUUUCCUGCUUAAGCAUCUUCAGGUAGCUGUUGCUAAAGCAAUGACUUGUUUCCCCAGCUGACCCACACCUUUCUUACAACACAGGGGCAAUUUCUUAUCAGCAAAGUAUUCAAGGACAAAGGAAGAAUGAAGAAAACCUGUGACCACAGCAUUUGUUGAUUUUAGAAUAGUAAUUGCUUUUUAAAACACUAAUUUUGAAAUUUGCAAGAUGUUGGCCUACCAAAGGUAAUCCAGGGACCUUUUGACAUCGUCAGACUAGGAAAAAAUAACUAAUUCAAUUUUGCACCUACAGCUGACCACAGAGGACAACAAUUGCAGUUGUCAGUGCGCACUGAGUUUUUCCUGAGCUGAGUUUCUUAUUCAUUCAUUGCUUUGAGCAAAAGAGAAAUGUGGAGCUCAAGACACACUGAUCAUCUGGCCUUCUGCAUGGGGAACCCAAGCUUCUGCUUCUGCUAUCAGUCAAGCUAAUCAAAGACAUAAAGAAAUCUAUGUAACCUGUGCCAUGUCCAAAUGAAGACUUGCCAUUAACAUUUCUUAUUUUUAGCAAAUUGGUAUUUGGCUACCUUCCCAAAUCACUUAGCCAGUUUGGCCCUGUGAGACAUCAUUCUGAAUAGUGGCAGAGUCAGUUUUUAUUUCUCAAGUGUCAAAAUUCAUUUUUAAAACUGGCACCGAAGUAUGAAUAUGGAAUACAUCUAUAAAAAACCCACUUUAACCCCAAAACAUUCUUGGAUUUUUUUCUUCUUUGAGAAAAGCAAAUAUUGACAUUUGAGGCUCUGUGUCUGGAAAUAAGUGGUAUCGCUUCCUCUGAGGGUUUCUUUUUGUUUUCCUUAUGAUGUAAGUAUAAUAUGCUGGAUUGUAGACAGCCCCAGAAUGACUACAGUGCAGCUAUUUGUUGGAGACUACUGGCAUCAUUAAGAGUGUGUUCACUUGUUUCAAGGAUGUCUGAAGUUUAUGUGGUAAUAAUUGGCUCAUUGCAGAAAUCAGUGUAGAGAAGAGGAGAUCCAGUUAUGUCCACGGUAUUUCUGUGUCAUUUUGUAAGCUUCUGAGUCUUAAGACAAAACUAGGAUAGACAAAAGCAAAAAUUCCUGCUUAAAUGCUGUUGUAUCAGAAGCAAAACCAAUCCAUGGACAUCAAAAUAAAUGAGUUAUUACAAGAGGAAACAGGCAGUUUAUCUUGGAGUUGGACUUCUCUGUGUUUCAGCUGAAAUGAUGCAAGGAAUGGGACGAGCCAUCUGCUUUAGAUUCAUGUAAUAUUCUUCAGCCCUAUUGUCUGUUAAUAGUUUUGUACCAUGCUUCAUAGUAAGUAUGUAAGGUUGCCCAAGGUUAAGUUCUAAUUGCAUCAGCAGUUGCUUUAAUCACAGCUCAGAGACACAUGCCUGUAUAUUUGUCAGUACAUCUCAGCUUUUUGAGUCGUUCUGAGAAUGGAAACAUUCACUGACAUCAGCAGAAGUGAUGGUGUGCUUUCACUGGCAGGUGGAAGAAAAUAGUUAAGUAUUUUAAAACUAUCUUUUAAGCUUAGCUUAGCCACUAUUAUUUUAAAAUCAAAAUCACAAUAAAAUUGAUUUCUUUUGGAUGGGGGAGAGGAGGAGGAAUCUUAAAGCUUACAAAGCCUGGCUCUGAUAUCCUUAGAAAUCCUAAAAAAAUGGUGCUGUGGGCUGUGGUUGUGUAAGUCCUUUGAGAGUGCCCUGCCAAUAAACUACAACCAUGUGGUAAACUGAGUGUUCCUAGAUGGGAGAGUAAUUCAGCCUUUGACCCUGCUAAUUCUGUGAAAUUUAAAGUUUACUUAAACUUAAAAUAAAUAAAUAAACACACUAGUAGCUUUCAGAGCCAAAAAA